AACGAACGCUGGCGGCAUGCCUAACACAUGCAAGUCGAACGAGAUCUUCGGGUCUAGUGGCGCACGGGUGCGUAACGCGUGGGAAUCUGCCCUUUGGUUCGGAAUAACAGUUGGAAACGACUGCUAAUACCGGAUGAUGACGAGAGUCCAAAGAUUUAUCGCCAGAGGAUGAGCCCGCGUAGGAUUAGCUAGUUGGUGUGGUAAAGGCGCACCAAGGCGACGAUCCUUAGCUGGUCUGAGAGGAUGAUCAGCCACACUGGGACUGAGACACGGCCUAGACUCCUACGGGAGGCAGCAGUGGGGAGUAUUGGACAAUGGGCGAAAGCCUGAUCCAGCAAUGCCGCGUGAGUGAUGAAGGCCUUAGGGUUGUAAAGCUCUUUUACCCGGGAUGAUAAUGACAGUACCGGGAGAAUAAGCUCCGGCUAACUCCGUGCCAGCCGCCGCCGUAA
rnacentral:rRNA from 1 species